rnacentral:piRNA from 1 species
UAUUAUUUAAAGUUAACAGGCAACCUACGC